rnacentral:rRNA from 1 species
UACAGAGGUCUCAAGCGUUGUUCGGAUUCAUUGGGCGUAAAGGGUGCGUAGGCGGCGCGGUAAGUCGGGUGUGAAAUCAUUGGAGCUUAACUCCGAAACUGCAUUCGAUACUGCCGUGCUUGAGGACUGGAGAGGAGACUGGAAUUUACGGUGUAGCGGUGAAAUGCGUAGAUAUCGUAAGGAAGACCAGUGGCGAAGGCGGGU